rnacentral:tRNA from 1 species
UGGGGUUGUGGCUCAGUGGUAGAGUGCUUGCCUAGUGUGUAGAAUGUGUGAGGCACUAGGUUAGAUUCUUAGCACCACAA